ACCUUUACCCUCUUCUGCCGGAAGGUAAUCAAACUGAGCACCUGGAUAAAGAAACCCCACCUCCCACGGUGCUGAUAAGGACCGGAAAUUGGCUUGUCAAAGUGACGCAGGAAAAUGGAGCCGGCAGUGCAAAGGUGAACUCUAAGAGCCGGUGAAGUUACAAGGAACAGAUUUUAGUAGAAGCAUUACUGGCCCCUUUUUCUCCGGCACAUGCCUGCACCAGACAUCCCUUUUAGGACCAAAUCCUCUGUUUCCCCUAGAUUCCUAUUUCAUGGAUCCUGCCUCUCAUCUGGUUCCCUGGCUCAGAGACACACCCUGAGCUAUCUCCUGUGAUCUACCUGGAGUGGGGACCCACAUCCUGGACUUUUCAAGACUUCACCCAGAUCAUAAAGUGGCCCUAAGCCCUUUCCAGCUUGCUUGUUCUUAGGUACCAAAUAGAUAGUCAGUGUGUGGCACUCAUUAAGCUUAUGCUGUGGGCAGAGCAGUGCAGUGAGGCCUUAUGGAGAAAAACAAUAGAAAUAGAAGUUUUGGUCCCUCAGGGUACGUAAGUGAGUGUCAACGGGCUGCCUGUUAAAUGCAAGCCAUUAUCCUCCGCACUUUCCUUCAUUUACCUUCAUUCCUUCAUUUAUCUUCACAGUGACUCCAGGAGUUACAGCCCCAUUUUCUGAUUUCCAGAGGAAUAAUCCAAACCUCUCCGAGAUUGAGGAACCUGCCUCAAGUAAUGGCUGGAAAGGAAGCGCAAGCCUAAAGGGACGAAGUGACUUGCCCAGGGUCACACAUCUGGUCAGUGCCCUUCACCUGGGGUGAACCUUCGCACAUCCAAGGUGAAGAUGAAGGAAGUCAGCUGUUUCCCUCUUGUGUUUCAAGCAAUGAAGUUGGCUUAAGAUUGGAAUCCUCCUUUCGCCCUUCAGAAUCAUACCUUUUACAAUACAUAAAUGUAUGGUUGCUUUUAACUAAGUUGCCAGGUACAAAUUUUCAAAUACUCCCUGAGCAUGAAUAUGGCAUUAAGAGUUGU
rnacentral:lncRNA from 1 species